rnacentral:rRNA from 1 species
AUUGAACGCUGGCGGCAGGCCUAACACAUGCAAGUCGAACGAGUGACGGACGGGUAAGUAAUGUCUGGGAAACUGCAUGAUGGAGGGGGAUAACUACUGGAAACGGUAGAUAAUACCGCAUACAAUCGGAUGUGCCCAGAUGGGAGUAGCUAGUUGGUGGGGUAAAGGCUCACCUAGGCGACGAUGCCUAGCUGGUCUGAGAGGAUGACACGCAACUCUGGAGAUAGGACACGGUCCAUCCUCCGAAGUGAGGCAGCAGUGGGGCACAUUGGACAAGGGGCGGAAACGUGAUGCAGCCAUGCCGCGUAGAUGAAAAAGGGCUUCGGGUUGUAAAGUACGUUCCGUGUGGAGGCGUUACCCGAAGAAGAAGCACCGGCUAACUCCGUGCCAGCAGCCGCGGUAAUAC